GGAAUAUUGGUCAAUGGGCGUAAUCCUGAACCAGCCAAGUAGCGUGCAGGAUGACGGCCCUAUGGGUUGUAAACUGCUUUUAUGCGGGGAUAAAGUGAGGGACGUGUCCCUUUUUGUAGGUACCGCAUGAAUAAGGACCGGCUAAUUCCGUGCCAGCAGCCGCGGUAAUACGGAAGGUCCGGGCGUUAUCCGGAUUUAUUGGGUUUAAAGGGAGCGCAGGCGGAGGCUUAAGCGUGACGUGAAAUGCCGCGGCUCAACCGUGGAAGUGCGUCGCGAACUGGGUUUCUCGAGUGAGUGCGACGUGUACGGCAUUCGUGGUGUAGCGGUGAAAUGCUUAGAUAUCACGAAGAACCCCGAUUGCGAAGGCAGCUGACGAGUCCUUUACUGACGCUAAAGCUCGAAGGUGCGGGUAUCGAACA
rnacentral:rRNA from 1 species